UACGAAGGGGGCUAGCGUUGCUCGGAAUCACUGGGCGUAAAGCGCACGUAGGCGGAUCUUUAAGUCAGGGGUGAAAUCCUGGAGCUCAACUCCAGAACUGCCUUUGAUACUGGGGAUCUCGAGUCCGGGAGAGGUGAGUGGAACUCCGAGUGUAGAGGUGAAAUUCGUAGAUAUUCGGAAGAACACCAGUGGCGAAGGCGGCUCACUGGCCCGGUACUGACGCUGAGGUGCGAAAGCGUGGGGAACAAACAGG
rnacentral:rRNA from 1 species